AUAAUAUGUAUAAUAUAAAGAGACACCUGAUAAAGAUUCAUGGAAUAACGACUCCGAAAGAAGUAGACGAUAAUGCCGCAAGAUCAUCAAAAAGAUGUCCAAUUGAAAAGGAGCAAGCUGAAAAGGAGCAAGUUCACGAAAUAACGACUCCGAAAGAAGUAGACGAUAAUGCCGCAAGAUCAUCAAAAAGAUGUCCAAUUGAAAAGGAGCAAGCUGAAAAGGAGCAAGUUCACGAGUA